rnacentral:lncRNA from 1 species
AUUCUGUGAUUCCAGCAUCUGAAAUUCUGAAAUUCAACUAUCAUUUGGUGAUCAGAGGUUAGCAGUAAUGUAGCAUAUGAUUUUAGGUUCAUCUGGUUUUUUAUUUGACAAAGUAUUUUCUCUCAUUUGCUAAAUGUCUAGUUGUCUCAGUAUUUUUUAUCUUCUUUAUUUUGAUUAAGUUGUUGUUUAGCUGCAAGUGUUGGAUUGCUUGGCUUUGAUUAUUGGAAGAUGUUAGAUAUUAGCUGCAAGUGUUAGAUUCAGUAGUAUUGUUUGGUGUAAGGUAUUUUAGUGAUGAUUAGCAAUGAUCAUAUUUGGUUUGUUAUUAUUUGCAUUUCGCUGGUUUUGCGGAAUUGUUUCGAGGCUUAGUUGUUGAAUUAGCUGCUCUUAGUUAUAUUGAUGGUUACAAUUACAUUGAUCAACGGGCUGAGCUGCUAGUUAUUUUCUUUUUUGGCUAUGCUUGUUUCUAUGCUGAUCCUAUUUUAUUAGUGACAACGGAUAUUCUCAAUAAUUGUGGUAUACUUGUGGAAAAAUAGAAUAUACAUAAUUGGGGGUUGGUGGAAUAGGGUAUCUCAAUUCAUUAUCCUAACAAUCCCUGGCAAGAUUAGGAUAUAAGAGCUUUUUCCCUCUUCAGCACCUUCCAUCGCUAGUUUGUUUCUCUUGUAUCAGCCGAGAAGACUAGCAGUAACAAAUACUGUAUUCCUAACCUUGUACGGUAACUUGAUUGUCCCUUGAUAUAUAUUGUCUGCUUGAUUUGUAAAAUUACAUGAUCACAUGAUAUGUUGUUAAGAUACUUAAGAUACUGGGUUCUGGAAAAUAAUUAAGUAAGGUGAAAUCCACUGCAAAAUUGGUGACAGGGUCUUAAUACCACUGUACAUUUCUAAAUUGAUUGCUUCUACGUAUUGAUACACGUCUGUUCCUUUUUUCUUUGAAUCUAUAUAUUCACAUGUUCUGGAUUUUAUUCAUUAAUUUCAUUGUCAUGUUCAUUCAUUUUUACCCACUUCGCAAAUUUGCUGAAAGUGCUUAUGUUGGAUUCUUGGCUGAUCUUAACAACAGGCUAUUACUGCUUUGAAGGAAGGAGCAUACUUGCUCAAUUACAGAAGAAGGGGAAAGCCCAAGUUCUACCCCUUCCGCCUUUCUAAUGUAAGUUUACUCCUAAAUAUCCGGUUAUAGUAUUGCAAUAUCAUCUCAGUGUCUACCUUCUUUUGUUCUUUCAUAGGAAGCACACUUUGUGUCUGGCUGUCUGCUAUAAUACCCCGGAAUAUUAAUAUUAAUUUCUAAUAUUAUUUGGGAAUUUUCGAGUUAGAAGUUAGUGUGUUUUGAGGUUCGAAGGAAGAGCGGAGGUGUUCGAGAGAUUUCUUUGUUGGAAAUGCUUUAUUUUGAAGGGUCAAGAGUUGACUUUUUAAUCUGUUGGGUUUCUCGAGAAACUUCCUUCACGAAAGUCGUAGAGCACGACGAUACGAGUUCGUAGACACGUGGCACGCGUAAAACGGACUUUGUAUGUGAAAAUUAUGGUCAGCAGAAGUUUAUGGUUUUUGAGGGGUUUUGUGUUAAAUAAGAAAAAAGUUAGGAUUUCCAUUUCAUUUUCCGGAAACCAUCUUUUUCUCUCCCUUUCCUCUCUUGCGCCUCAUCCUCACUAUCAAAGUUCUCCAGCCGACCCGACCCGGACCCGGUCAACCCAACCUGACUUUUUCGGUCGACUCCGACGGACUCAGACAGCGGCACCGAUCAAGUUUUCUUCCUCUCCUCGGCGUGAUCCUCCCUGUGUAGGUGGGUGAGGACUACUCAAGAGGGAUUGAGAGAAUCGAACGUUGCAGCGGAGGGUGGCGGACCCGACUUCAACCCGAGGGCGUUCCGGCCGUGUACGGCGGCGACUGGAGGUGAGGCUGCCCAUUUCUUGAAGCACUCUUCCCUCUAAGCACGUUUCAAGCUGUCAUUCACCUUGUAUUGAGGCCUAGAAGUCGGAUUGAGUCACCUUGGCAGCCGGUGUUCUUUUGGAUGUUUCCGGCCGAUUCCGGCCAAAUGGGUUCAACCUUCAGGUAUAAAAGAUGCUUCCCUUGCUUCAAUCUACAAGUUUCAUGUUGGGAGUUUGCUCAUUUUCGGAGGUUGGUAAGGUGGCGCGUGGGGCCCACGUGCAGUCGCCUGUGGAGGCGCGUCCGGUAGUGUCUGUGGUGUUUAUGGUGAUGGUUAGGUAGUACGCAUCAUUACGUUUGUGUUGAUAUGUGGUUUGUAGAAUUUGGGUUUCUUUAUUUCAUGUUAGGACUUUUAGGUUAAGCUUAGGCUUAUGUGAGGUUUAAGUUUAGGUUUUGAGGAUUGGAGGCAGCCUUAUUUAGUCGUUAAGUUCGACGACCUUGGAAGGUUGUCCUCCUUUGGGCUAUGGGUUAGUUUAAGGGUGUUUGAUAUCCUAUAAGUACUUUGGUUACUAAGGUAAUUAAUUGUGUAAUUAUAGGUGACUUGUGAGGUGUGAUUGGCUUGGCUCGUUUGGUUGUGUUUUUGGUGAAGACGCAGCGGGAAUAUAUAGGUGAGUAACAUCUCACCAAGGUUCACUUGGAACCAAUUAUUUAUGGAAAUGAUGAUGGUGAUGUUGAUAAGGUUUAUGAUGAUAAAAUGAUUAUGAUGAUUAUUAUGAUGAUGAUGGUGAUGAUGAUAAGGUUUAUGAUGAUAAAAUGAUGAUGAAUUACGAUGAUGAUUUUUGUUGAUGAUUAUGAUGUUUUUAAUUUAAAAAUUUUAUUUUUGCUUGUUUUAAAAUAUAUGAGCUUAAUCGCCAACGGCUCAUAGGUAAGAUAAAACAAGUUUUUUCUAUUAUAUGAUUAUUUUUAAGAUUCAUGAAAUUAUAAUAUUUUUGGUUCUUGAUAGGUUAUUCUUGUGGGAAUAACUAUGUCUUGUGCAUAUAAAUAUAUCUAUGUGGAAGGAUAUAAUUUUAUGAUGUGCUCUUUGUGUUGUUGUUGAUGAUAAUGAUGAUGAUGAUGAUGUUGAAUUAAAGAAUAUGCUUUUGUUUGUUUUUAAAAAUAAAUAAGCUUGAUCGUUAACGGCUCAUAGAUAAGAGAAAACAAGUUAGAUAGUCAAACUAGGUUCCAAGCCUUUAAUCGGGUGAUUAGUUGCGGUUAUGAUGAUUCUACUCUUUUGUGAAUUGUUGUGUAGAUAGUGAAACUAGGUUCCAAGCCUUUAAUCGGGUGAUUGGUUACGGUUAUGACGCUAUUAUUAUUUGUGAUGUGAUAUUGGAUAGUCAAACUGGGUUCCAAGCCUUUGGCCGGGUGAUUGGUUACGGUUAGGAAUAGAGCUCUAGUCCGUCUGUCGGUGUAGGUCAUGGGAGGUACCUUAAGAUAUCUGGGACCCAUGGGUACAUAAAUUGUUGUUGUAGGUCAUGAGAGGUAUUUAUUGGUAUAUGGGACUCAUGGGUACAUGUGUUUGUUGUAGGUCAUGGGAGAUACCUUAUUGGUAUCUGGGACUCAUGGGUACAUGUGUAUUUAUAAACGUAUUUGUUAUGUGGUUUUAAUAUUUUUCUUAAUUAUUGUCAUUUAAAUUUCUUGUUUGAGUAUCUCCUGAACUAUGCUUAAUGCAGGAGAUUCUUUAAAUCUUAUUUGUGUGAUUUUUAGUGGAAUUCCUGAACUACCCUUUUUGUAGGAUUCACUUAUUAUUUUGAUUGUUUUGGUGAAUUGUGAGAUUUCUUAUUACUCUCUUUUGAAUUUUUAUUGUUGAGGAAAUUCCUGAACUAAGUUCUAAAGCAGAAAUUUCCGGUUUUAUCUUAUGUGUUGUUUGGGUUGAGUAAUUUUUGAGAGUUACUCAUAUGGGCUUUUUAGCUUACCGGGUUUGUUGUUUACAACCCGAUGCACCAACUCAUGGUGUAGGGGUUAGACCUGCAGGUGAUGAUCAGCAGGUUUGAGGCGGAGGCAUAGUGGCAGGAUUUUAGUUUCUGUGCACUUUAUUUUAUUAUUUUAUGGCAGUUUGUUUUUAAGCUCAUGUGAGCGAAUUUAUUAUUACUAGACUUUUGAAGUUGAUGUAAUUAAGGAGAUAAAUGUUUAACUCGGUUGUUGAGUUUGUUGACAUUUACAUAUCAGUAUUUGUUUUUAGUUUGGAAGUUGUUGAGCAGGUUUUGGGAUAUUAAGGUUUUUGAGUUAUAUCAUGCCCAAAUUUUUGAAAAUUUAUCCUUCGAAAAUUGGGGUGUGACAUCUGCCUUCUUCAUUUUUUUAUUAUAAGAUUCUUUUAUUUUUAUUUUAGAAGACCGGAUUAAAAUACAGAUAAUGAGUAUGGAUAGUAAAGCCUUGAAAUGGCUAUGCGACUAUACCUGUAACUAGCAUAUACAUCAGAACCACCUAUUUAGACCAUUACAACUCAGCAACAUUCCAGUCCACGCAAAUUAAGGAAACUGAAUAUUUCGAAGCAGAUAACCAUAAUAAUAUAAAAAACAACCCUUUCCUGUAAGUGCAACCACCAUUAGUUACACACUUAUAUCUAUGCCCCAUUCCCCUGCAACAAUUUCAUCAAAUUACUUUACAACUCACACACACAUACUCAUAUAUGUAUAAUGGGAAUUCACAAAGCAUGGCGGUGGUAGUCAUUUCUGCGAUUUUCACAACAAUAGUUCCAUUUCAAUGCAGCUAAGCUUCCAACAAAUUUGUUUUGCUAAUAGAUAUUGGUUGUUAUUGAAUUCUUACCCUCAAGAUGAGUCCGUUCUGAUAUGGUUCUCAGGGAAGGAGGAGAAACACCUUAAACUA